AUCUUCACCACCAUUCUACUGUCCACCACACAGCUAGUGGAUUUCAGACGCCCGUGGACUUCUAUCUUACUGGAGUGCAGAUAUGACAUCCCCUGUAAUUUUUCAGACAACAGGAAAACAAAGAGGUCUCUUACCUUAGCAAUAUCAUACAAGACAGAGAUCUUAAACUCCCAGUCCAUGAACGUACCAUCAGGGUAGGAAAUUGUGUCGUUUAAAACUUCCUGAACAGGAGAAAAAGGAAAGGAACAAGGAACAUUCGGUGGCUUUCAGCACAAGAAGAUGAGCAGGAGAUACCCAUGGUGUUCCAAAUUCCAGGUUCUUCCCCCAGACCCGGGUAAAGGAAUGGGCAGACACCUCCCUGGAGAGUGGGCUGGUGAGCCUGCUUCACAAGUGGUUGGGCUGCAGGUUCUGUCUCCUUAAAAUCACACUAGUAUUUUUAGACAAGGAAUUGCUGUAAGGAAAUUCAUUCACUAGGCUUACGCUUUUACUCACUUGAUCAGUUGCAUCCAUUGGUUUAAUAGCUCUAGGUGUUAUUUAAGUUUACUAAGUCCUUUGUCAAUAGGACAGAGUUCUUGGAUUUUGUGUAUGAAUUAUAUGACCUGGAAUUUUGAACUCACUAUUUUAACAUGACAAUGGUUCUAUCAAGAUACAGGGUUUUUACCUAAGCUAAUAACUAUUCUUCACAAUAAAACCCUAACUAAUAAACUAACAAUCGUUUCUUGUUUGGGGAAAAAGCCCAAUUUGACCUUUAGUUCUAACUGUACCAGUAAUUUGCAACAAAUGGUCCAAAGUCAUUAAUCAUUUCAGAUAAGGCUGGCUGGGCUGUGGGUACCAGGCCAAGUUAAGCAAGGGCAGUUAUGAGCAGACAGACUCUAAAGGAAUUCUUUCCCUUAGCACCUGACAUACUUUACAUUUUUAUUUAUUUAUUGGUUGUCUCUUCUCCUUAUGAAAAUGUAAACUCUGUGAUUUUGUUUUUGAGGAAGAUUCGCCCUGAGCUAACAUCUGCUACCAAUCCUCCUCUUUUUGCUGAGG